rnacentral:rRNA from 1 species
AUGAGGGAAGGCGCAAGAGAUCGGGCGCUGUGGUGCUCUGCUCCUCGGCGAGCUCAGGCGAGGCAGAGUGGAUCCACGGGCGCGUGGGGCUGCUGCUCUGGACGCGUCCACGAGCUGGGUUUGUGGGUGAUUGGGAGCUCGGUGGCUGCAAGGUGCGGGGAUGCGGUGGUUGGCAGCGAGUGGGGAAUGGGAGGAUCCCGAGGUGGGAGAUGCUGGCGGCGGCGGGAUGGGACAAUAUCCCUAAAAGUUAGGGUUGGUCUAGUUUAUAUAGCAAGUAGGCUAGGUUUAAGGGGUAUUUGA